rnacentral:rRNA from 1 species
ACGGCGAGUGAAGCGGCAACAGCUCGAAUUUGAAAUCUGGCCUCGGCCCGAGUUGUAAUCUGUAGAGGACGCUUUUGGCGCGGUGCCUUCCGAGUGCCCUGGAACGGGACGCCACAGAGGGUGAGAGCCCCGUAUGGUCGGACACCAAGCCUGUGUAAAGCUCCUUCGACGAGUCGGGUAGCUUGGGAAUGCUGCUCUAAGCGGGAGGUAAACUUCUUCUAAAGCUAAAUAUUGGCCAGAGACCGAUAGCGCACAAGUAGAGUGAUCGAAAGAUGAAAAGCACUUUGAAAAGAGGGUCAAAUAGUACGUGAAAUUGUUGAAAGGGAAGCGCUCAUGACCAGACUUGCGCCGGGCUGAUCAUCCAGUGGUCUCCACUGGUGCACUCUGCCCGGCUCAGGCCAGCGUCGGCUGUCACGGGGGGACAAAAGCACUGGGAAAGUAGCUCUCUCCGGGGAGUGUUAUAGCCCUAUGCAGAAUACCCCCGCGGCGGCCGAGGUCCGCGCUCUGCAAG